UGCAAGUUCAUCGACGCGCUCGGCGAAAACGUGAACAAAAGUAGGCUACGCAUCGGGAGAGCGUUACAAAGGCUGCUCCGUAGUUUGUGCUUGAUUGGUUUGAAGUUGGCACUUAUUGCAGAAAAGUAACCCAAAAUGAUUGGAAAUGUCAAGCAUGAAAGAUGAUUUUAAUGGGAGAAGAUAUUGGCUCUGACGUACCUUGAAGCUUUCAUUUUGCAGCUUGAAAAGGGGCUAUGCUGUCCCUUUAAAACAAAAGAACAGUUGAAGAUGGGCUGGUAUCAUAUGAACAAAUGUUUUUGCGAACAGAUUGUUCUGGUUUCUAUGGUGACGUAUUCAGUUGUCAUGACAUUGACAUUCUUCGUUUACGUAUAUAUGGAAGAAACUAGUCUGCAAUCCAAAUUUUCGCAUACGCAUAAAAACCAAGUGUCAAGUGUGCAUCAGCUCGUGGAUAGUUUUGAUGCGAACAAUAAUCUGCGCAAGAGGGAUGUCGGCGUAAGAGAUAUGGACAAUAUCUCCGGCAUUUUCAAGAGGUUGCAAGUCGGUCUUAUAUCACCUCAAGAACAUAGACACAUUUUAAAGAAGUACUUGAAAAGCGUUAUUGACAGUAUUGCAGAGUAUCAAAGUUAUGAGGUAGGUACGAAGUGUCCAUCUUCUGUCCUAGGCUAUACAGUAAUGUAUCUAGGAGUCUUGAAAUGGGGGAGCUGGUUGGGGGUGCAAGUUUGUUUUCUGGGGGUGGAGGGGCAUUGUGAUGUGGCCACAUUUCACAUCAAUAUCUUAUUGUAACAAUUGUUUGAUGAGCAUAAACAAAAUUGACCGAUUCAGCAAUGUUUGUUUACAGCUGGUCAUGUGACAUAACUUGGGUAUACCAUGGAAAACAU